GAUGAACGCUGGCGGCGUGCCUAAUACAUGCAAGUCGAGCGAACAGACGAGGAGCUUGCUCCUCUGACGUUAGCGGCGGACGGGUGAGUAACACGUGGAUAACCUACCUAUAAGACUGGGAUAACUUCGGGAAACCGGAGCUAAUACCGGAUAAUAUAUUGAACCGCAUGGUUCAAUAGUGAAAGACGGUUUUGCUGUCACUUAUAGAUGGAUCCGCGCCGCAUUAGCUAGUUGGUAAGGUAACGGCUUACCAAGGCAACGAUGCGUAGCCGACCUGAGAGGGUGAUCGGCCACACUGGAACUGAGACACGGUCCAGCCUCCUACGGGAGGCAGCAGUAGGGAAUCUUCCGCAAUGGGCGAAAGCUUGACGGAGCAACGCCGCGUGAGUGAUGAAGGUCUUCGGAUCGUAAAACUCUGUUAUUAGGGAAGAACAAAUGUGUAAGUAACUAUGCACGUCUUGACGGUACCUAAUCAGAAAGCCACGGCUAACUACGUG
rnacentral:rRNA from 1 species